GGUGAAAUAAACAGCCAUGUUGCUCACACAAAGCCUGUUUGGUGGUCUCUUCACACGGACGCUCAUGAAAUUUGGUGAUGUGACUCGGAUAGGGGGACCUCCCUUGGGAGAUCAGUACCCUGUCCUCCUGCUCUUUGCUCCGUGAGAAAGAUCCACCUACAACCUCAGGUCCUUAGACCAACCAGCCCAAGAAACAUCUCACCAAUUUCAAAUCCAGACCCCACUGGAAAUCGGACUGUCCAACUCACCUGACAGCCACUCCCACAGCCGCUGGAACUCUGGCCCAAGGCUCUCUGACUCCUUCCCAGAUCUUCUUGGCUUAGCGGCUGAAGACUGACGCUGCCCGAUCGCCUCGGAAGCCCCCUAGACCAUCACGGACGCCGAGCUUCGGGUAACUCUCACAGUGGAAGAAACACAACUACAGAUUUCUACCUGGUGCAUGGCCAUCGCUCAUGAAGACUACAACUUCCAGCUUCCUUUGAAGAAAAAGAGGACUUGAUGGCAUUGUCGCUAAGUAAGAAAUAAUGUGUGUGACUUCAGGGUUGCCCCCUUAAAGGGAGGGGACAUUUUCCAUCCUGCUGUUCAGAGUAUGGAUGUGAUGAGAGACAUCUUGGAUGAUGCAGAGGAGGUGAACACCCCAGGACAAUGAAACCACAGGAGAGAAAGAGCCUGCGCUGGCCCAUCUAGCACAGCCACUGGACACAGGGACCACCUGCCUCUGCACUCUUAUGGAAGGAGGAAAUCUAACUUUCCCAGUUUAAGGCACUGUUACUUUGGGCUCCUGUUACAUAACUGUGGCAGAAUGAAGGUUCAACAUGGAAACUGGCAAUGUUGAAGAAACAUAAAGUUCAUUGCUUGAAUAUCUGAAGUUGUGGACUCAAUCUCAUACCUGCUCCACUUAUGAGUUAUAGUUCUUCCAGGUCUCAGGAAUGGGAUCAGCAGGUCUCAGGGUUGUACUCUCCUGGAUCUCUCACCAGCCACCUCAAACCAGCUGCCAUAGCCUGUCCACUUCCACUCCAAUCUUCUCUUCCUUCAUCACCUCCCUUGCACACCCUGAUAACCUCGAAAGAGAACUCUUCCCAAGGCUCUGUUCCAAACACAUCGCCACUCUGCUUAGAACCUUCAAUGACUCCUCAUGGCCUAGGAGGUUUCUCUCCCAUCUGGAUCCAGCUGACGUUCCCAGCACCUUCUCCUGACUCCUGUCUUUUCUUGAACCAGUUCUGCCCAACAAGGAGGAAAGGGCUGACAGAGUGAAAGUCCCAGGGCAUGUGGGAAUGUGACUCUUUUCACUUUAAAUUCUAUGACUGGAAAGUUUUGGGCAGAGUUGGACAUGUGCACUUAGCUUCCAGAAGACAGAAUCCUUUUAAAAGAGUCAGAGAAAACACUGGCUUCCUGCCAUGACAUGAGAUACAGACAGGAGAGUUGGGAAGCUUUUUAAAGAUGGCACUAUGACUACAAUCACAGAAACUCUCCAUGAGGAAGUAAAAGAAAGCACCUGCAACACUCCAGCUAUGCAGACCACUCUGUAAUGGGCUCAGAUCUGGACAGGUGUGUGGAAAGGUGGGUCAACAGGUCAGGCGUCACAGACUUGGAACAUUCAUGGUGGAAAAGAAAAAGCCCCAAAGAAGAGACUUCAGGAUAAAUGAGAAAAUACUCAAGACAGCAAAAGUCUCUUUUAGAAAUGUUGGAGAAAGAACACUUAAUGUCAGGAGUUACUGUUGAUUGAUGGCCUUACUGUGUAGCAGGUGAGAAACCCAUUGUUCAGUUCCCUAAAGUCACCCUAUUCUCCCAAUCAUCCUAUGGAGGGGGAACCAUGAUGGUUAUCCCCAUCUUAUAAAUAAAGCAACAGAGGCUUAGAAGGACGAACUCUUUUUCUCAAGGUUACCCAGAUCAUUUUGCAGAAGUCCCUAGAUUUGAAUCAUGCUCUUGCUUUGAGGUUAAAGACACAGGGGAAGUCGAACUCCUUAUCUCCUAUAUCCUGAAUAGGGAAAACCAAACAUUGUCAAGAGGAGAGGAAGCCUGAGAGUUGGCAUGAAUCAGAGUGCUGGGCAGUCUGGAGUCUUCCCCACUGAGUUGAUGAUGGAACAGUAGAGUGGGGCCUGAGCCCCGUUAGGGCAUGAGCUGCUGAAUGAUUCAUGUGAACACCAUGCACAUGGGAGUGAGGUUUUGAGCAGUGUGCCACAGGAGCCUACCCUCAGGCCCCACCAUAAAAUGUAGGGCCAGUCCUACAUUUUAUCAAUGACUUGCGUGAACACAGAAAAUGUGGAUACAACCAAAAGGUAACAAUCCAAUUAAAAAAUGGACAAAAAACUUGAAUAAACAUUUCUCAAAAGAAGAUAUACAAAUGAUCAAAAAGCAUAUGAAAAAAUGCUCAACAUCGCUAAUUGUAAGAGAAAUGCAAAUCAAAACUAUAAUGAGAUACCACCUUAUAUUGAUUAGGAAGACUGCUAUAAAAAUAGUAAACAAACAAACAAACAAAGUAAGUCUUGGGGAGGAUGCAGAGAAAUUAAAAUUUUUGUGCACUGUUAGUGGGAAUGUAAAAUGGUGCAGCUGUUACGGGAAACGGUAUGACAGUUCCUCAAAAAAUAAAAUGUAGAAACAGCA
ensembl:lncRNA LINC-ROR long intergenic non-protein coding RNA, regulator of reprogramming